rnacentral:rRNA from 1 species
GACGAACGCUGGCGGCGUGCUUAACACAUGCAAGUCGAACGAAGUGGCGAACGGGUGAGUAACGCGUAAUCAACCUGACCUUCAGAGGGGGACAACAGUUGGAAACGACUGCUAAUAACGCAUAAUGAAGGAGGGGACUGCGUCUGAUUAGCUAGUUGGAGGGGUAACGGCCACCCAGGGCGAUGAUCAGUAGCCGGUCUGGGAGGAUGAACGGCCACAUUGGGACUUAGACACGGCCCAGACUCCUACGGGAGGCAGCAGUGGGGAAUCUUCCGCAAUGGACGAAAGUCUGACGGAGCAACGCCGCGUGAGUGAUGACGGCCUUCGGGUUGUAAAGCUCUGUUAAUCGGGACGCGGUACCGGAAUAGAAAGCCACGGCUAACUACGUGCCAGCAGCCGCGGUAAUAC